GUUGGUCAAGCGGUUAAGACACCGCCCUUUCACGGCGGUAUCACGGGUUCGAAUCCCGUACGGGUCA
rnacentral:tRNA from 1 species